AUUGAACGCUGGCGGCAGGCUUAACACAUGCAAGUCGAGCGAGCCGCGGACGUGUUAGUUAUGUCUGGGCAUCUGCCUGCUGGAGGGGGAUAACUACUGGAAACUGUAGCUCAUACCGCCUACCUUCUGAUAUGCCCAGGUGGGUUUAGCUAGUAGGUGGGGUAAUGGCUCACCAAGGCGACGAUCCCUAGAUGGUGUGAGAGGAUGAACAGACAACCUGUAACUGAGACACGGUCCAGACUCCUACGGUAGGCAGCAGUGGGGAAUAUUGGACAAUGGGCGAAAGCCUGAUGCAGCCAUGCCGCGUGUGUGAAGAAGGCCUUCGGGUUGUAAAGCACUUUAAGUGAGGAGGCGUUACUCGCAGAAGAAGCACCGGCUAACUCCGUGCCAGCAGCCGCGGUAAUUC
rnacentral:rRNA from 1 species